rnacentral:rRNA from 1 species
UACGGAGGGUGCAAGCGUUAAUCGGAAUUACUGGGCGUAAAGGGUUCGUAGGUGGUCUAUUAAGUUAUUUGUAAAAUCCCUGGGCUUAACCUGGGCAGGUCAGAUAAUACUGGUAGACUCGAGUAUGGGAGAGGGUAGUGGAAUUUCCGGUGUAGCGGUGAAAUGCGUAGAGAUCGGAAGGAACACCAGUGGCGAAGGCGGCUACCUGGCCUAAUACUGACACUGAGGAACGAAAGCGUGGGGAGCGAACAGG